rnacentral:rRNA from 1 species
UACGUAGGGUGCGAGCGUUAAUCGGAAUUACUGGGCGUAAAGCGUGCGUAGGCGGUUCGUUGUGUCGGCGGUGAAAUCCCCGGGCUCAACCUGGGAAUGGCCGUUGAAACUGGCGAACUGGAGUGUGGCAGAGGCGAGUGGAAUUCCUGGUGUAGCGGUGGAAUGCGUAGAUAUCUGGAGGAACACCGGUGGCGAAGGCGGCAUCCUGGACCGAGAUUGACGCUGAGGCGCGAAAGCCAGGGGAGCAAACGGGG